rnacentral:rRNA from 1 species
GAUGAACGCUGGCGGCGUGCCUAAUACAUGCAAGUCGAGCGAACGGACGAGAAGCUUGCUUCUCUGAUGUUAGCGGCGGACGGGUGAGUAACACGUGGAUAACCUACCUAUAAGACUGGGAUAACUUCGGGAAACCGGAGCUAAUACCGGAUAAUAUUUUGAACCGCAUGGUUCAAAAGUGAAAGACGGUCUUGCUGUCACUUAUAGAUGGAUCCGCGCUGCAUUAGCUAGUUGGUAAGGUAACGGCUUACCAAGGCAACGAUGCAUAGCCGACCUGAGAGGGUGAUCGGCCACACUGGAACUGAGACACGGUCCAGACUCCUACGGGAGGCAGCAGUAGGGAAUCUUCCGCAAAGGGCGAAAGCCUGACGGAGCAACGCCGCGUGAGUGAUGAAGGUCUUCGGAUCGUAAAACUCUGUUAUUAGGGAAGAACAUAUGUGUAAGUAACUGUACACAUCUUGACGGUACCUAAUCAGAAAGCCACGGCUAACUACGUG